rnacentral:rRNA from 1 species
GCGGCCUAUCAGCUUGUUGGUGAGGUAAUGGCUCACCAAGGCGUCGACGGGUAGCCGGCCUGAGAGGGUGACCGGCCACACUGGGACUGAGACACGGCCCAGACUCCUACGGGAGGCAGCAGUGGGGAAUAUUGCACAAUGGGCGGAAGCCUGAUGCAGCAACGCCGCGUGAGGGAUGACGGCCUUCGGGUUGUAAACCUCUUUUAGCAGGGAAGAAGCGAAAGUGACGGUACCUGCAGAAAAAGCGCCGGCUAACUACGUGCCAGCAGCCGCGGUAAUACGUAGGGCGCAAGCGUUAUCCGGAAUUAUUGGGCGUAAAGAGCUCGUAGGCGGUUUGUCGCGUCUGCUGUGAAAUCCCGAGGCUCAANCUCGGGCCUGCAGUGGGUACGGGCAGACUAGAGUGCGGUAGGGGAGAUUGGAAUUCCUGGUGUAGCGGUGGAAUGCGCAGAUAUCAGGAGGAACACCGAUGGCGAAGGCAGAUCUCUGGGCCGUAACUGACGCUGAGGAGCGAAAGGGUGGGGAGCAAACAGGCUUAGAUACCCUGGUAGUCCACCCCGUAAACGUUGGGAACUAGUUGUGGGGUCCUUUCCACGGAUUCCGUGACGCAGCUAACGCAUUAAGUUCCCCGCCUGGGGAGUACGGCCGCAAGGCUAAAACUCAAAGGAAUUGACGGGGACCCGCACAAGCGGCGGAGCAUGCGGAUUAAUUCGAUGCAACGCGAAGAACCUUACCAAGGCUUGACAUACACCAGAACGGGCCAGAAAUGGUCAACUCUUUGGACACUGGUGAACAGGUGGUGCAUGGUUGUCGUCAGCUCGUGUCGUGAGAUGUUGGGUUAAGUCCCGCAACGAGCGCAACCCUCGUUCUAUGUUGCCAGCACGUAAUGGUGGGAACUCAUGGGAU